rnacentral:rRNA from 1 species
AGCGAACGCUGGCGGCAGGCCUAACACAUGCAAGUCGAACGAACUCUUCGGAGUUAGUGGCGGACGGGUGAGUAACACGUGGGAACGUGCCGUUAGGUUCGGAAUAACUCAGGUAAACUUGUGCUAAUACCGAAUGUGCCCUGCGGGGGAAAGAUUUAUCGCCUUUAGAGCGGCCCGCGUCUGUUUAGCUAGUUGGUGAGGUAAAGGCUCACCAAGGCGACGAUCAGUAGCUGGUCUGAGAGGAUGAUCAGCCACAUUGGGACUGAGACACGGCCCAAACUCCUACGGGAGGCAGCAGUGGGGAAUCUUGCGCAAUGGGCGAAAGCCUGAAGCAGCCAUGCCGCGUGAAUGAUGAAGGUCUUAGGAUUGUAAAAUUCUUUCACCGGGGACGAUAAUGACGGUACCCGGAGAAGAAGCCCCGGCUAACUUCGUG